rnacentral:lncRNA from 1 species
UGCAGGAUGAUGUGCAGGUUGUGAGAAGGAGAUCUGAUGUCGGAUCUGGGUUCAGAUCCUGACACUGUUGUUUACUAUGUGGGCAAGGAAACAAACCUCUCCAGAUGCAGCAUCUUUAACAAUAAAAUGGAGAUAGAGCCUAUAUUCCUGGACUGUGAGGAUUAAAUGACCUAAUAUAUGGAAAACCCUUAGAAAUCGCUGUUCCUAUUAUUUUGGUUGCUUACAGGGAUGUUGUACUUGCUGGGUUUCCUUUCCACUCCCAUUUCAUGGUAUUCUAUGAACAAACAGGCUGCUGCUUUUCCUCCUGCAUUGUUCUCCUUUGUUCUCCACUUGCAACCAAUUGCUGUUUCACUGUGUUAUGUUAAUAACAUAAUUCUAGAGAAAGCUGGCCUGACAUGAUUGUUUUUUAGCGUUUCUUCCUCACUAAUUUGUAUCUUCUUCCCUGGCUGAUGAGCAUUUUUUUGCCUAGCAGAAGUUUGUUACUUCUCCUCUCCCCCGCUCAUUCCAGCAAUGCAAUUUAAACCACAUUAAUCCGGUAUUUAGCGAGAAAAUGGGGUUUUAUAAUGGGAAACACUCAGUUUGAGAGGUAAUCUUCUUUUUCUCUUCUGAAACAAGAUUUUUUUUUUUUUUUAAAUCUUAGUUUAAUGACGAAUCACCACCACUUGUCUUGGAAAAUGGUUGCAGACGAGAUAAUGGAUGAGGGUUCUGGAAUUUUAGAGCCAGACCUACUCUUCUCCAAUCCCUUCAUCUUGCAUGAGAAACUCAGGCCUCAAGGAGGUUGAGUUAUGGGCUCUGGGUCACCAGUCAAUGGCAGAGAUUCUGGGGCAUCAGUCUCUUCUCAUUGUACUGAGAUGUGUUUCCUUUGUGGUGGUGUCUGCAGGAUUGAAUCCUAUCCCUCUGCUGUAUAGCCAGCUCUCAGCAAGUAUUUUAACACCACUGAAGUUCAGUCUUUUAAGUUUAUAGACUGACCAUAUGGUAAUAUAAUUUCUUGUAAGUACUAGGGGUUGGAUGAUCUAAGUGAAGCCAUUGUGUCAUCACUGGUAACUAGAAGGUAUGGAAAGAGUGUUGAAUGGAGGAAUACUAAAUUCAGGUUAUUACUGUUGACGGUUACUCUUUACCUGAGUGCUUCCUGGAUGCCAGGCCUUUGCUGAGUCUUCCAAAUAACCCUGGGAGGCAGGUAUUAUAUGUCACUACUGUUAAGAAAACUCUGCAACUCGUGUUAUUACCCUAUCCCUGUCUUGUUCCAGUACUCUUGCCUAGAAAAUCCCAUGGAUGGAGGAGCCUGGCAGGCU